CUUUUGUGGCAGUGUCACUUGAGGUAAGGCUGCUUCACUUCAACUGGGCUAGAAGAGAACAGAGUGUAUACUGUGUCCCUAUACUCUAGUUGAUGUGCUCUUGUGCCCUCUGGAGGCGUGGGAUGGGUUUACCAAAGAUGGUUCAGUACAUGCCCCAGAAGUUAUUGGUUCAGGUCUUCUGGCCCCGUUACAAUAAUACUUGAAAAGGGCAUCAUACAUUUCCCCCUUCCUUGAAAGAAUCACAUUCAUAUAAGUUCAGUUGUUAUCAUCAUAGACUGUAUUUGGUUCAUAUUCUGAUAUAUUCGAAAGAAGGGAUAUUCCUCUGCUGUGUGGUCAAUGACCCAUGUCAAUUUCCCAUGUCAAUUUCCCAUGUCAAUUUCCCAUGUCAAUGCCCCAAGUCAAUGCCCCAUGUCAAUGCCCCAUGUCAAUGCCCCAUGUCAAUGACCCAUGUCGUAGCGUCUCCCUUUCCCAAGAGGUCAGUAAUAAGAGCUGUGACUGACCAAAACAAAAUGCCUCUGCACAUCUGCUACACAUCUGCUACAAGAUCAGAGUAGUGCAGAAGGUGUCUUAAGCUGAGGCAAAGAAGACAAAACGAGGAAGAUUGGUAAGGUUGGCUCCUUAGUGUUCAUAGAGAGUGAUAGGAAUAACAAGCGUUUCAGUAAGGUUAGCUCCUUAGCGUUCAUAGCCAUGGUUAUCAACUGUAAUGGAAUCACAGAGAAUAGAUGUGUUGGCAGCUGAUGAAAAGUACUGGGGUUACGAGAUUGGACUGCAGAAGAGUUACAAGGUGUUUUGAACGAGAAGAUGUCGGCCUGGUGUAGGAUCAGAUCGGGUCAAGUAGAGGAAUAGUGGUGAGAUUUGAAUAGGUGUAGGGUUAGUUGGUAUAGUGGUGUAGGGUUAGUUGGUAUAGCAGUGAGGUGUUAAUGGGUGUAGGGUUAGUUGGUAUAGCAGUGAGGUGUUAAUGGGUGUAGGGUUAGUUGGUAUAGCAGUGAGGUGUUAAUGGGUGUAGGGUUAGUUGGUAUAGCAGUGAGGUGUUAAUGGGUGUAGGGUUAGUUGGUAUAGCAGUGAGGUGUUAAUGGGUGUAGGGUUAGUUGGUAUAGCAGUGAGGUGUUAAUGGGUGUAGGGUUAGUUGGUAUAGCGGUGAGGUGUUAAUGGGUGUAGGGUUAGUUGGUAUAGUGGUGUAGGGUUAGUUGGUAUAGUGGUGAGGUGUUAAUGGGUGUAGGGUUAGUUGGUAUAGUGGUGUAGGGUUAGUUGGUAUAGCAGUGAGGUGUUAAUGGGUGUAGGGUUAGUUGGUAUAGCAGUGAGGUUUUAAUGGGUGUAGGGUUAGUUGGUAUAGCAGUGAGGUGUUAAUGGGUGUAGGGUUAGUUGGUAUAGUGGUGUAGGGUUAGUUGGUAUAGUGGUGUGGUGUUAAUGGGUGUAGUGUUAGUUGGUAUAGUGGGGAGGUUUUAAUGGGUGUAGGGUUAGUUGGUAUAGUGGUGUAGGGUUAGUUGGUAUAGUGGUGAGGUUUUAAUGGGUGUCGGGUUAGUUGGUAUAGCAGUGAGGUUUUAAUGGGUGUAGGGUUAGUUGGUAUAGUGGUGUAGGGUUAGUUGGUGUAGGGUUAGUUGGUAUAGCAGUGAGGUUUUAAUGGGUGUAGGGUUAGUUGGUAUAGCAGUGAGGUUUUAAUGGGUGUAGGGUUAGUUGGUAUAGUGGUGUGGUGUUAAUGGGUGUAGGGUUAGUUGGUAUAGUGGUGUGGUGUUAAUGGGUGUCGGGUUAGUUGGUAUAGCAGUGAGGUGUUAAUGGGUGUAGGGUUAGUUGGUAUAGUGGUGUAGGGUUAGUUGGUAUAGUGGUGUAGGGUUAGUUGGUGUAGGGUUAGUUGGUAUAGCAGUGAGGUGUUAAUGGGUGUAGGGUUAGUUUGUAUAGCAGUGAGGUGUUAAUGGGUGUAGGGUUAGUUGGUAUAGUGGUGAGG
ensembl:lncRNA